rnacentral:pre_miRNA from 1 species
ACGCAAACACGAAUGGGCAUGUAUGACUAUGGGAUGAUAAGAUUCUUAUCAUCCCAUAGUCAUACAUGCCCGUUCGUGUUUGCGU